UAAAUGGGAAUUCUUAUCUGCACUACUGUACUAAUGUAGCUCCGAAUGCAGUUAGGGAUUGAGAUAUAUCUCACAAGUGUGACUGAAUUUGAUCCUUUAAUUUUGCUUGGAUAGGGAGCAUGCCCUUACCUAUCCAUUAAUUAUCUGACAUUUUUAAACUUGCACACCUAAUAUUGAUGGAAACUGUAGCUUUUAUUGCAUUUACACAGGACAUGCCCUAGCAAUCAAGUGCCAAACUUUAGAUGCCAUCAAAUGUAGUAGCCUUUACUAAACAUAAUUUAUUGGCUUCGUGCUAUUUUCACCAAGCCUAAAUCCCGAAAUUUUAAGUUUCUUCCAUAGUCUGUGUUGAAGAAGGAACAGAGUGUUAGAAUGAACACUCAAUAGUUGAUGUUUCUGUGUUGUGGUGUUGGACAGCUACCCCUCUGUAUCCUUACAGUCUCCGUGCAUGUGCCAGGUGUUGUACAUGAAGCCGCAAACCUUUUUUGCCUAACGAUAUGUGUGUGACUUUCUGAAAAGAUAAUCAAUAGUGGUGGCUCCAUUCAAGCAUGAUGGAGAUAUUUAUGUUGAGAAGGGUAACCACAGCUUCGGGAUCUAUGCAAGGUCCAAGCAUGGUAUUACUUCUGGAUGGAUCAAAACAUCUUGCCUGGAUAUCUCAUAGAUCGCUGAAUUAGUUUCAGUGACUGGUGACAGCCAAAAAGAAGAUACACUAGCUAAUUGAUCAGAUGUUGACACCAUGCAGGCUCAGGUUCUACUGUUGUACAAAUAGGCGACAGCAGAAACCUGCAAAUCAAAGCAGUAAAUAUAGACUGCAAGUGGUGCUCCACCGGGUAAACCUCAUGAAAGUGAAGAGUAACUUUGGUACAUGCCAAAUGAUCGGCAUGGCAGCAUGCUCUAUCCUUCUUCUUUGGUAGCCUCGCUAAGUGCCGUCGUUCCUGUGAUCUCCAACUAGUAAACAGUCGCGACUAGAAUUGCAGGAAUAUUAUUUGGAAACCUUCGCUUGAAGUAAUUUGUUGGAUAGUGAUUUUGCAUUGUAUGCUUGAAUUGUCUCUGUGAAUGGUAGGUAAGUUAUUUGUUAGUCAUUCGAUUGAGUGAGAAACAUAUGGAAACUGUAACUUGUUAUUCUGGAGCUUUGGAUUGUACUCCUAUCUUGCAAUUGUGAAUUAAAUUUAAUUCUGCAAGUUCAGUUACGAUCGCACGAAGGUUGUAUUGGUCAUCGUUUCAACAAAGUUUGUUCGAUCUUCC